CAGUAGCCGCGGUAAUACGAAGGGUGCAAGCGUUAAUCGGAAUUACUGGGCGUAAAGCGCGCGUAGGUGGUUCAUUAAGUUGGAUGUGAAAGCCCUGGGCUCAACCUGGGAACUGCAUCCAAAACUGGUGAGCUAGAGUACGGUAGAGGGUAGUGGAAUUUCCUGUGUAGCGGUGAAAUGCGUAGAUAUAGGAAGGAACACCAGUGGCGAAGGCGACUACCUGGACUGAUACUGACACUGAGGUGCGAAAGCAUGGGGAACAAACAGGAUUAGAUACCCGCGUAGUCCCUGUCUCUUAUAC
rnacentral:rRNA from 1 species